UUACUCCUGGGGUGUUCGCCAGCCGACUAAUCCCUGAGCCGAUAAAUAUACCUGGAGUUCUCUCGUAUUACCCUGUGAGCACGUCCACUCGAUGGAAAGCCUAAUCGGUAACAGAGUCCUCCCCCUUGAACUGUCGGGUUCAAGGUAUAGUUGUCAGCGGCAUCCCAGGCUUUUA
rnacentral:other from 1 species